AAACAUUGUAAUAAUUAUAUAAAUAAUGGCCUUAUAAACAAAGUUGAGGAAGAAAUUUUAGCAUGUGUGAUGCGAGUCGGACAAAAAAAGUACAGCUUAAUUACUGAGUUGUGUAGCUGUCAUACAUAUUUAAUACAGAUCAACAAUACAUUGAGGUCCUAUAAUCGAAAUCAUUAUUUACAUGCCUGAUACCUACACUGUCAAUUCCCACAAACUAUAUAAGUAUAUUGCAGGAUUGGCAGCAUCUGGUAUAGAGAUAUAUUGCCAUUGCCAUUGAUUUUCAACCACUCCAAACAUUGCCAUAAACUGUCAUGCAGGGCACUAUACGGCUUGGUUUAAAUUUAGCACUUUGCCUCAGAAACAAGUGAGAGCAUUCGCUGCCUCACUGAUUGUGAAAUUGGGCAAUUGGGUCACACGUCUGAAGACCUAAACACUCUCAAAUGCCUUUCAAAACCACAAGUACAGUAAUAUCAUUAUAUGAUAUAGGAUGUAGACAUAGUAGGUAAGGACUAUCCAAUUUGUCCAAAGUAUAAACUAUUAUGCAUGUACUGUGUGUUAGGCUUUCAGAAUCAGUUAAGUUUAUAUACUCUAGUACAUUGCUAUUUGAUGAAACCAUAUCUAUUUAAUUUAUUUUGAGGAAGGUUUGAAAACUUUAAAUUUUACCCGGAGGAAAUUUGAACAGGUUUUGCAACUCUGUCAAGCAGGGCACGAAAUAGAAAAAUAUAUAUGGUCUGACAUUGUUUUUCUUUUCGUUAUGUCAAAUAAACUAUUGUCUGCAAAUUUGUGGUUGUGAGCGUCAGAAUGUUCCAAUAAACCUUUCUUAUAAUGACGUCAAACGCGGAAAACCAAUUUUGUCCCAUGGUACAGGGCAAGUCGUUGGGCGAGCCAAUAAAUUUCAUAAAAACAUCAUUUGC